GCAGGUGAGUUAUACUGUCAGUGGCGUAGGAGGUGAAAGGGGUGUAACUGUAGCAGAGGUAAGCUGCAGGUGAGUUAUACUGUGGGGUGUGACUGUAGCAGAGGUAAGCUGCAGGUGAGUUAUACUGUCAGUGGCGUAGGAGGUGAAAGGGGUGUGACUGUAGCAGAGGUAAGCUGCAGGUGAGUUCUACUGUGGGGUGUGACUGUAGCAGAGGUAAGCUGCAGGUGAGUUCUAGUAGCCUCUGAUGUCAUCCCCCCCGAGACUUAGUGUCUCCGGUCUGUCAUGAAUGUAUCUACAGUAUAUUUUAAUACCGUAAGCAUCUCAGCUGCG
rnacentral:lncRNA from 1 species